UACGAAGGGGGCUAGCGUUGUUCGGAAUUACUGGGCGUAAAGCGCGCGCAGGCGGUCCUUCAAGUCAGAGGUGAAAGCCCAGAGCUCAACUCUGGAACGGCCUUUGAGACUAGAGGACUUGGGUACGGGAGAGGUGAGUGGAAUUCCGAGUGUAGAGGUGAAAUUCGUAGAUAUUCGGAAGAACGCCAGUGGCGAAGGCGGCUCACUGGCCCGCUACCGACGCUCAGGCGCGACAGCGUGGGGAGCAAACAGG
rnacentral:rRNA from 1 species